GUUUGUCGCGUCUGUCGUGAAAGUCCGGGGCUUACCCCGGAUCUGCGGUGGGUACGGGCAGACUAGAGUGCAGUAGGGGAGACUGGAAUUCCUGGUGUAGCGGUGGAAUGCGCAGAUAUCAGGAGGAACACCGAUGGCGAAGGCAGGUCUCUGGGCUGUAACUGACGCUGAGGAGCGAAAGCAUGGGGAGCGAACAGGAUUAGAUACCCUGGUAGUCCAUGCCGUAAACGUUGGGCACUAGGUGUGGGGACCAUUCCACGGUUUCCGCGCCGCAGCUAACGCAUUAAGUGCCCCGCCUGGGGAGUACGGCCGCAAGGCUAAAACUCAAAUGAAUUGA
rnacentral:rRNA from 1 species